CCUACGAAUAAGAGCUCCGCCUUUUCGAGACUUGCCUUGCUCUUGGGGAUUUCUUCCCACCGGAUCCUCUGUUCCACUUCCAGGCACCUCCUUGCGGAGCUUUCCGCCUCAAGGAAAUCCCGGUUGUGGGAAACAGCAUUUUCAAAGAAAACUGAUCCUCCCUCAUUCUCCCGCAGAUCCAACCCAAAAUUGAUCUUCUUCUUUCUUGAACGGAAUUUUUUUUUAUUUGCAAAAGAAUUGGUCAAAAACGCCGCCAUGCCGCCAAAUCCGAUCCAAAAUCGAGCAAAAUCUUAUUCAUCCACAUUAUUUUACUAAUUGUACCUACUUCCUGCUUUCGAAAGUGCUUGCUUGCUGACGGGCAUCCCGGCGGGAUGUCUUACCCUCCCUCGAGUCCGAUCUCGGGAGGGGUCUUGCUAUUACCCGCAGGGAGCGCAGCAACCGACGGUGCAUAUUGCGGCGCCCUUUGUGCGUGAAUUUCAUACGACGAUGACGCCAAUGUACCCACAUCGGGCCGACUUGACCAUAAGGUCGGAUGUUUCCGUGAGCAGUAAGCAGCGGAUCUCCCCUUUUUGGGGGAAAGCUGGUGGCCCUUUUGGCGUGUUAAUUCUUUCGACGGGGUGUGGUAACUGCCUUUGGGUCCGCACACCACUCCUUAUGUUCAGCUAAAAAGCCUUCCGGGCUACCCCUUAGAACACCUAGUAAAACUACUAGUCCUGGUCGAUACCUUCACCCUUGCUUUCCCAACCGUCAACUAGUGGGCUUCGGUGAAGGAAAGGAUGGCAUUGGAUAAGAAUUUAGCCCCACCCCCUGCAAGCUCGUCAAAUAACUCAAAGGACUGGAAAUCCUAAAAAAGCGCCCUUUGACUCGAAAUCAAAUUUGUGCUAGUGGUUCGAAUCCACAACAGAACAAUGAAUGAAUGAAAUGAAUGAAUGUGGGCGGUCCCCAGACGACAAGUGUGUGAUCAGAAGCCUUUCCUUUAGCUGUUUAGCAAAGAAUGACCUUGGUUAUCAAAGGAUUGAACGACCGGGCCGUUGCUUGUUCUUUCGGUAGCCUUCUUUCAUUUCCGAAUUUGCUUGCGAGCAGUCCUUGCAUUAGUAUGAGUUCGUUGACCGCGUAAGGGCGGGGUAAAGAAGUUAUUUCAACAACGUUCCUGUCAUCAAAUCCUGAUUCAACAAAGCCAUGCCAGCUGUGUUGGUCGUUCCUCCGAUUCAAAGUUCUCUUGGAUUCCAAAAAGCAUCGCUACCCGCAUACUGAAGUUGGAAGGAGUACGCCCGGUUUGUCUUGAUUUGCUUCAUCCAUGAUUCCCCUUGUGGAGUGAUCGUCGUGCUUAGGUGCACUAGUUUUCACAUUUGGAUUUGUUCCAUCAUUAGUGGUACUAGAACCAGACCCCGUUGAACAUAUUUUCAAAAUGUUCCAUCAUUGGGUAUAAGUAGAAUCUUCAUAGCCCAAAAAAAACACAGUCAAAGUCAAACGUUUGUCGGUGGCACAGAGUUGUGAUCUUCGAUUAGAUAGUUUCCAUGCUUUUGAUAAAAAUAUGGGUUGGUAGGCAGGAUGAGAAGUUCAGUUAAAGAUUUCUCUCUGCUCCAAUUCCUCUGAGCUGUCAUAAUUGAAUAAAAGGGAUCGUAUAGCUUUCCAAUCCAGCAACAUACAUCUAUCACCUAGGCAUAACUGCCAACAUCAGUAUGCAGUCUUUGGGGGUGGGAUUUUGGAAUUGGAAGGUUUGACAGCGCGGCCAGCCGUACUUAAUAAUAGAAGGAUUUGGCAGAAAUAUGUAAAAUUGUCCCUCCUAAAAAAAUUAUUCCAGAAUAAAUGGGCAAUAGUUAGGAGAGGUGCGCCAGCGGCUCACUAGGCUUCUUGCUGCGGUGAAGUUGCUUCAUCACCCGACUCAACAUCAGCCUCAUCCCCCCCAUUUUAAGCUUUCGAAAUCGGAGAUAAGAAUUGAAUCGAUUUCAGGCACUUCCCUCAAGCCGAAACCGGAACAGGAAACUUGUAACUUCUAGCCGAGAAGGAUAAGAGAGGUUUGCUCGGUCUACAGCUUGGUUUGAAAUGAGGGAGCCAUACCGUGUGGUUGAAGCAGAGUACCGUUUUGCAGUGGAUAGGGCACUAUCUCUAUUCGUAGCCUAAGGGGAAUGAGCAACAAAAUGACAAGAUGAAGUGCCCCGGGCACCCCCAUAUAGAAAGAAGGGUCGAAGGUUUUGGGCCUGUAGCUUUCCCCGCCCCCCCCCCUCGUCGAGUGGUGCUUGUUUGGGGGGUGUGCCACCAGAAAGCGGGCUUGACUCAUUUCAUAAUUGAAUAAAAACGAGGAGCCGAAGAUUCUAGGGGGCUACAGCUGCGCUUUUGCAGCACUGAACAUGGUUCCGGGAGACGGCCAUCUCGAGGCACAUCACGACCUACAGGCAACACCGGCGAGACCCAGGAAGGUAACCCGAUUGGGAGCGUAAGGAUGCAUAGUAGCCUUCAAAGAGCACUCUUUGGCCUUGAGAAAAGCCCCUUUCUCAUCAACAUCUCAACUUCGCUCGUUGUUUGAGGUAAGUAUAAAGGAGAUCAGAUCUGUCCCAUGCCAUCCUUCGGGAUCCUAUCCUAGCACUUGUCCUCGUUGCUUUAAUUCGUGCGUUUGCACCUCAUUGAACUUCUCCAAAACCCUCCUCCAAGAAGAAUUGUGCUAUGCCCCCCCCCCCCGAUAUCCCUAUAGAGCGAAAGAGCUGCCUGGCUACUCGAUCGAGAAGAAAGAGCAGUUGUUACCCGCACAUUCCAGUCAUCAAAUAAAGGAAAUCGCAAUCCUAAAUCCGGAAAGGAAUAACGAUUUAGGGCCUGGUUUUACUAGAACAAUACGUUCCCCACGAGAGGCGGGCAAUGUUCGCGAGCCCUGUCCGAUUGGACGAGAAAUCCCCAAACUCUAAUGUGCUUUACUUGGAAGUAGGCCACUCUUUCACUGUGAGGAUCUUCUUUUAGUCUGUAGCCACCCCUUGCCCACCAACAGAGCAAAAGAACGCUCAAAUGAGGAACUAGAAUAUAAAAGUGCAAAAUCUCCUACCGAACAAAGAAAGCACUAUAUCUCAUUUUAAAAAUCUGGUAAAAAUUCUUCAACCUAACUCAACACAACUAUAUUUCGACUGUAUAUGUAUGUUUGUAACGUGCCACAAAACCAUCUUAAGAUUAGACAGUUAUCAAUCAGCAAACGCAUUGACCACAUGCAAAAAAUCAAGACGGAUCUCCUUCCUUUUAUUUGGUGCUUUCCUUUUAUAAGUCACCGGGGCAUACAAAUCCGCUUAUGGCAUUCACCCAAGCAUACAGAGACAGAUGGAAUGAAAGAAAGAAAAAGUAGCUCCGCAGCUCGCCCAGAAGAAGAAAGACCCGCCGCUAACGAUUUGGAAAUCCGAAUUCAUUGGUUUAGCCAUUCCAAUAACAAUUAGUUCCAUACCUUGGUCUCUUCCCUUGGUCCAUAAUAGUCAAAUGAAUGAUCUAUCAUGCAGAUCCCCUAUCGGCAAUUCUCUAGUUUACAAAUAGGCCUCUGAAUCGAUUCACCGACAUCUGAUCAUUGAUACCGACAUCAGCUACUGAUAUCUAGACUUGGUGCAAUCUAAUCGAUUAUUGGGAAUUGGAAGUAGUAGCUCUAGCUGAAAGAAAUCCCCCACCCAAGUUAGGUAACUAAUAGGCAGGCACCCCAUCUAAUUAGUACUUUAGAGUAAAGAAAAGACUGUUCACUUGCAUUCCCGCACCUCAUGAGUAUCUUUCGACCGAGGAUCGCCUGACAUGUUCCGCUCUUGUUAAAGAAGCAUAUCGAUCAAGUGUCAAUUCGUCGGAUGAGACCUUUGCUUUCCUUCCACAGGUUAAUGAGCGCUAUAUUCGGGAAGUACAGGAUACCAGAGAAACUCGCCUUACAAGCUCAAUAAAUUGCAAUUCUUCACCUUUUCCUCAGACAGUGGGAAUGCAUUUUCUUACUUGAUUGACAUUGACAGAUAUGUGUACCACACCGAACAAGCAAUAUGUCAUAUGCUUGAUGUACCAGCCAAGCCAGCUCUUUUUUUCUCAGUUCCCUUAUCCUUAGCGCAAAAGUAAAAAGAAAAUGAAAGAGAGUUUGUAUUUGCAAAUGAAAAUGAAUAUGGAUCUAAAUAAAUUAGAUAAUCAAUCAAUAAAUAAGAAUUGGAAUAAUAGAAAAAAUAUCCUUCGCUCCUUAUCUCUUCAUCAUCGUCGGUUCCGUCACUUGUGGUAUUCGUUUAGAAUCUUGUUGACCCUACUCGCUUACUCCUAUUUUCCUUAUUUCUUUUAAUUAAUUGUCCGAAUGGAAGUUCAUUCAUUGGAGUAGUGCCAAGCAAGAAAGUGCUCAAAGGUAUCAUAGUUCAUAGGUAUUAACAGGAUCCUUCUUGCAUCAAUUGGAUUGAAAAUUGACGUGAUUAGCUGCUCGUCCCAAGUACCCGAAGCAGGGUCAAUCAACUCAUUUACCUUUGUGAGAAGUGUACCUCCCCUUUCCGUAGUGAUUUUACUAUUGGGACUUCCUGGAACCCAAGGGUCGUUCCAUAUGUUAAUUUGCUCUCAUGUUCCAAUUCUCCUAAUGUGUCUACGUUUAUAUGCAUAUCCAGCUUUACUGCACAAAGCCCCGGCCCUGACCUCUUAUUUUUUAUUGAGUGAAUGCAUUAAUAAGCCACCAGAAUGUUAUCCGUUAUUAAACGGCCGGGUACAACAAAAGCACUCUGUGUUUGUGAAAUUACCUCAUCCAGUACUGUACGGAACUGAGAUAUUUCCUGCGGGGAUCUCACCUUUGGGAUUAAAACAAUAACAGUUCUAUUAAUGAUCUCUGGGAGGUAGCCGCAGUUUAGGAAACCAAGGACUGCAGCCGUUUUCUCGCAGAGCCGAGUCGGGCUAGUAAGAAGUAGCUACUUUAUGCAGCUUUGUAUCUGGUCCGGGACCUCAUCAUAGCAAAAAAUAUUAAUAUUUUUUUUAUUACUCAUAAUAUUAAAUAAUUUUAUGAAGAAGGAAAGUUGGCUGUGAGAAUGAUUUCUCGUACGUAGUCUUUCCUAGGACCAUUCCAACAGGAUGCUAAAGCGGAUACGUUUUCUUUCUGGGUUCGGUUUGUUUUUGGGCGGUGGGGCAAUAAGCUUGCUUUAUCCCCGCCCCCUUUCCUGUCCGUCCCGACUGGCAGCAGUUGGGUCUCCCCAUCUCUCCUCAACUUCCCCGGUCUUCGGCCCGAGCUGUAUGAGGCAGAAACUCGUCCCACGUCAGAUUAUGCUAUUUUAUUAGUAGCUUUCGGUCUCGAUUCGCCCUUACCUCGGAGGCCACCAUCCCAUAACAAAAAAGGGGGGCGAAGGUUAUUUUGUACCAAUGAAGACGGAUUUAUCUCUCGAGCUGCUCAAAGAUCUUUAAGUGGCUGCACAAAUAGAUGGAAUAGCAGCAAAUAGCAUAUUUCUAUCCUUCAUAUCCGUAGAAAUCAAUCUCAUCUCCAGGUAACUCCAUCUUUUUCAGCUCUGCUCCCGAAAAGAGCACAAAUCGUUGUGCUCCUCACUGCUCAAGAGACUUCUUAUUUUCUUCUUACCCUUCGAGAAAGAGGCCUUGCUUUCGCACAGGAAGGAAAGAAUUGACUCGGGUAAGUAAGUCCUAUUGGGGGAUUAAGGGCUCGAGUACGAUUAGAGCGCCUUUUUUCUGCUGAACCUGGUAAACGAACAAAUAGGUGGUCUUUCCGGAAAUGUGAAACAAAAGUUUUUCCCUCGCAUCUCGGUCACUUUUACUUUUUCGUUAUUUCGUAAGCCUGUCUUCUACUUCUCCUCCUCCGGUUAUUGAUAUUACAAUCGUAUCUUAUGCAUUCUCUCCUGACGACUCGGCUUCGGCUCAAGGCCCCAGAGGGAGAGUAUCAUUAUUGAGUUGACUAACUCCAACCUCGGUAUAAAAUUCUUUAUCAGCGGGUUCGCUUUUCCAGAAUAGAAAUUUGUAUGAAUUGCCUAGAGGGUGGAGAAGUCACAUCAUCUGAGGUUUGUUGUGGGUUCAAUUAUGACCCCGGUCUAGAAGACGGAGUGGUUNNNNNNNNNNNNNNNNNNNNNNNNNNNNNNNNNNNNNNNNNNNNNNNNNNNNNNNNNNNNNNNNNNNNNNNNNNNNNNNNNNNNNNNNNNNNNNNNNNNNGAAAUCCAAAAGGAACUGGAGUUUUUGGUGCGAUCGCUGGGGAAUUGAGACUUAUGAAUUUCACUAAAAGAGUCUCAUGAGCUCCUGAGGUAUUAAAAAUACUAGUAGUAGAGACUAUGAUAUAGUAGGGUAUCAGAAUAUAGAUCAAUUAGUAGAUUGUGUCUGACGCAUAUACAUGAAAAAAAAGAAUAAUUAGAUAAUAAUAAGAAUAAGAAUUCUAAUCUUAAUAAAAGGAAGGGUUCGAAUAGCAUCUACUAAUAUUACCGAAAACUUUGUGAAAAUACUUCUACGAGAAGGUUUUAUUGAAAAUGUUCGAAAACCAUAGGGAAAGUAACAAAUCUUUCUUGGCACGUGCCCCUGCUCCUGGUCUUCGAACUAGUCAUUAAUGGUCGUCAACAUAGGUACCCUUUUUCGGUAUGCGUUGCCUUUAAUAUUAUGAAAAAAUAUUAAAUAAUUUUUUUAUUACUCAUAAUAUUAAAUAAUUUUAUUAUACCCUUUAAAUAUUAAAUAUAUAUUUAAAUAUNNNNNNNNNNNNNNNNNNNNNNNNNNNNNNNNNNNNNNNNNNNNNNNNNNNNNNNNNNNNNNNNNNNNNNNNNNNNNNNNNNNNNNNNNNNNNNNNNNNNGCCUCGGACGUCCGGAGGAGGCCGGAUGUCCGAGGCACUGGUCCUCUUUUCUGAUAACAGCAGAGCAGUGGAGAUGUGGUAAGAGCAGAACAUUGGAUAUCUAGUUUGAGCAAGUUCAUCACAAAACCUGUGAUCCCCUCUUAAUAGUGCGGGAUCCCUAAAGACUCAAGAAUUAUAAAAGGGGUACCGAUGAUCCAUACUUGAGUGUAUACUUUUAUUCGCUGAUCAUCACUCCGCACCACUAACGUCAAAGGAACUGAUACCUUUGAGUUAGCCCUUUCACUUGAGCUUCAUGUUGUUGUUCCUUCUUGGCUCAAGUUGAAAGCAAGACAUGAUGAAGUCUUCAAGCAGCUCUCCCAUUCACAAUGUGGAAAGCCUAGCUUAUGUAUUCAUCUUCAUUUGUCCACCAUGUGAACAUCCACAAGAAUCAAGCAUGUAGUGCUCAGGAAUGCUUAUCUUGAUCUUGUCCUUGUUAGCACAUGAGCUUGUCCUUAUCAACACAUGAUCAUUAACAAUAGUUUCAAUAAUAUAUUCGUGCUGAUCCACUUGAACUUUCACACCACAAUCUUGAUGACGAUCACCACUUGACGUCAUCCUUCAUGGGUUGUACGAGAUCUUCCUUUUGACGCAAGCCCAUGGAAGCACACCUAACCCCCACAUAGGACUCUCAGAAAGACCUUGGGUUAGUACACAAACACGUAAUGGACAAUUCUUACCAUACCAUGGGAUCACUUGAUCCCUCUCGGUACAUCUUAUACGCUUUGUGUGUUGAUCAUCUUGAUUUACUCUUUGUCUAAGAUCUUGAUCAACCUAGUGUCUCUAUGACCAUUCUUUGGAUAAUACCUUGAAUACCAUCUUGGUCAUCAUAUAAACUCCUUGAACCCAACAGAUGGACUUCAAGAAGUGCCUAUGGACAAAUCCUAUAAAUAUAACUUAAGGCAACCAUUAGCCCAUAGGAAUUGUCAUCAAUUACCAAAACCACAUAUGGAGAUAUAUGCUCUAACAGAGGGGACUUUGGAGUUGGAGGGCUUCAUCAUCAUCAUCAUCGCCCCUCCAAUAACUCGUGAGUAGUUCACUUCAGACCUACGUGUCCGUAGUUAGUAGCUAGAUGGUUUCUUCUCUCUCUUGGAUCUUCAAUACAAAGUUCUCCAUGAUCUUCAUGGAGAUCUAUCCGAUGUAAUCUUCUUUGGCCGUGUGUUUGUCGGGAUCCGAUGAAUUGUGGAUUUGUGAUCAGAUUAUCUAUGAUAUAUAUUUGAGUCUUUGCUGAUUUNNNNNNNNNNNNNNNNNNNNNNNNNNNNNNNNNNNNNNNNNNNNNNNNNNNNNNNNNNNNNNNNNNNNNNNNNNNNNNNNNNNNNNNNNNNNNNNNNNNNCCCCCCCCAAACCGAGUUGGACUUGGUUUGGUGGGUGGGAGUCCUUCCUUCCCUUCCCACCACCUUUUUUUUCUUUUCUCUUUGAUUUUCUUUCCUAGGCGCAUAGGGCCCUUUUGGGCUGUCCCACCAGCCCACUAAGGGCUGGUGCGCCACCCUCAAGGCCUAUGGGCUUCCCCGGGGUGGGUUGCCCCCCCCGGUGAACUCCCGGAACCCAUUCGUCAUUCCCAGUACAUUCCCGGUAACUCCGAAAACCUUCCGGUAAUCAAAUGAGGUCAUCCUAUAUAUCAAUCUUCGUUUUCGGACUAUUCCGGAAACCCUCGUGACGUCCGUGAUCUCAUCCGGGACUCCGAACAACAUUCGGUAACCAACCAUAUAACUCAAAUACGCAUAAAACAACGUCGAACCUUAAGUGUGCAGACCCUGCGGGUUCGAGAACUAUGUAGACAUGACCCGAGAGACUCCUCGGUCAAUAUCCAAUAGCGGGACCUGGAUGCCCAUAUUGGAUCCUACAUAUUCUACGAAGAUCUUAUCGUUUGAACCUCAGUGCCAAGGAUUCAUAUAAUCCCGUAUGUCAUUCCCUUUGUCCUUCGGUAUGUUACUUGCCCGAGAUUCGAUCGUCAGUAUCCGCAUACCUAUUUCAAUCUCGUUUACCGGCAAGUCUCUUUACUCGUUCCGUAAUACAAGAUCCCGCAACUUACACUAAGCUACAUUGCUUGCAAGGCUUGUGUGUGAUGUUAUAUUACUGAGUGGGUCCCGAGAUACCUCUCCGUCACACGGAGUGACAAAUCCCAGUCUUGAUCCAUACUAACUCAACUAACACCUUCGGAGAUACCUGUAGAGCAUCUUUAUAGUCACCCAGUUACGUUGCGACGUUUGAUACACACAAAGCAUUCCUCCGGUGUCNNNNNNNNNNNNNNNNNNNNNNNNNNNNNNNNNNNNNNNNNNNNNNNNNNNNNNNNNNNNNNNNNNNNNNNNNNNNNNNNNNNNNNNNNNNNNNNNNNNNGCCAUACAAGACUGCACAUUGAACUACUGAGUAGUCCUCCUUACGUGCUAACCAAGCGUUCUUAACAUCCUGAUCAGCCGUAGCGGGUGGUUCAUCUCCUAGCGCAGCAUUAAGGACAUAAUCCUUCUUCCCAGCUUGUAAGAUUAGCUUAAGAUUACGAGCCCAGUCUACAAAGUUGCUUCCAUCAUCUUUCAACUUAGCUUUCUCUAGGAACGUAUUAAAAUUGAGGGUGACUGUCGCGUGAGCCAUGAUCUACAACACAAAUAUAUUCAAAGUGGACUUAGACUAUGUUCAAGAUAAUUAGAGUUUAACUUUAAUCAAAAUUAUACGCUAAACUCCCACUCAAAAAGUACAUCUCUCUUAGUCAUUUGAGUGGUUCAUGAUCCACUUACACUAGCUCAAGUCCGAUCAUCACGUGAGUUGAGUAUAGUUUCAGUAGUAAGCAUCCCUAUGCUAAUCAUAUCAUCUAUACGACUCAUGAUCGACCUUUCGGUCUCAUGUGUUCCGAGGCCAUGUCUGCACAUGCUAGGCUCGUCAAGCUUAACCCGAGUGUUCCGCGUGCGCAACUGUUUUGCACCCGUUGUAUGUGAACGUUGAGUCUAUCACACCCGAUCAUCACGUGGUGUCUCGAAACGACGAACUGUAGCAACGGUGCACAGUCGGGGAGAACACAAUUUCGUCUUGAAAUUUUAGUGAGAGAUCACCUCAUAAUGCUACCGUCGUUCUAAGCAAAAUAAGGUGCAUAAAAGGAUUAACAUCACAUGCAAUUCAUAAGUGACAUGAUAUGGCCAUCAUCACGUGCUUCUUGAUCUCCAUCACCAAAGCACCGGCACGAUCUUCUUGUCACCGGCGCCACGCCAUGAUCUCCAUCAACGUGUUGCCAUCGAGGUUGUCGUGCUACUCAUGCUAUUACUACUAAAGCUACAUCCUAGCAAAAUAGUAAACGCAUCUGCAAGCACAAACAUUAGUAUAAACACAACCCUAUGGCUCCUGCCGGUUGCCGUACCAUCGACGUGCAAGUCGAUAUUAUCUAUUACAACAUGAUCAUCUCAUACAUCCAAUAUAUCACAUCACAUCGUUGGCCAUAUCACAUCACAAGCAUACCCUGCAAAAACAAGUUAGACGUCCUCUAAUUUUGUUGUUGCAUGUUUUACGUGGUGACCAUGGGUAUCUAGUAGGAUCGCAUCUUACUUACGCAAACACCACAACGGAGAUAUAUGAGUUGCUAUUUAACCUCAUCCAAGGACCUCCUCGGUCAAAUCCGAUUCAACUAAAUUUGGAGAAACUGACACUUGCCAGUCAUCUUAGAGCAACGGGGUUACUCGUAGCGAUGAAACCAGUCUCUCGUAAGCGUACGAGUAAUGUCGGUCCAAGCCGCUUCAAUCCAACAAUACCGCGAAAUCAAGAAAAGACUAAGGAGGGAAGCAAAACGCAAAUAACCGCCCACAAAAACUUUUGUGUUCUACUCGAGAAGACAUCUACGCAUGAACCUAGCUCUGAUACCACUGUUGGGUAACGUCGCAUGGGAAACAAAAAAUUUCCUACGCGCACGAAGACCUAUCAUGGUGAUGUCCAUCUACGAGAGGGGAUGAGUGAUCUACGUACCCUUGUAGAUCGUACAGCAGAAGCGUUAGUGAACGCGGUUGAUGUAGUGGAACGUCCUCACGUCCCUCGAUCCGCCCCGCGAACAAUCCCGAGAUCAGUCCCACGAUCUAGUGCCGAACGGACGGCACCUCCGCGUUCAGCACACGUACAGCUCGACGAUGAUCUCGGCCUUCUUGAUCCAGCAAGAGAGACGGAGAGGUAGAAGAGUUCUCCGGCAGCGUGACGGCGCUCCGGGGGUUGGUGAUGACCUUGUCUCAGCAGGGCUCCGCCCGAGCUCCGCAAAAACGCGAUCUAGAGGAAAAACCGUGGAGGUAUGUGGUCGGGCUGCCGUGGAAAAGUCGUCUCAAAUCAGNNNNNNNNNNNNNNNNNNNNNNNNNNNNNNNNNNNNNNNNNNNNNNNNNNNNNNNNNNNNNNNNNNNNNNNNNNNNNNNNNNNNNNNNNNNNNNNNNNNNGUGUUUUGUCUAUGUAUCCACACAUGUAAAUGAGUCUUCAUUCAAUACAAUUAUAGCAUGGAUAAUAAACUAUUAUCUUGAUACAGGAAUUAUAAUAAUAACUAUACAUUUAUUAUUGCCUCUAGGGCAUAAUUCCAACAAUCUUUACCUCCGGACCAUUCUGGAGCUCCUCGUGACGUCCGGGAUCUCAUCCGGGACUCCGAACAACUUUCGAUAACCUCGUAUAACAAUUCCCUAUAACCCUAGCGUCAUCGAACCUUAAGUGUGUAGACCCUACGGGUUCGGGAGGCAGGCAGACAUGACCAAGACACCUCUCCGGCCAAUAACCAUCAGCGGGGUCUGGAUACCCAUGGUGGCUCCCACUUGCUCCACGAUGCUCUCAUCGGAUGAACCACGAUGUCAAGGAUUCAAUCAAUCCCGUAUACAAUUCCCUUUGUCUGUCGGUAUAGAACUUGCCCGAGAUUCGAUCGUCGGUAUACCUAUACCUUGUUCAAUCUCGUUACCGGUAAGUCUCUUUACUCGUUCCGUAGCACGUCAUCGUGUGACUAACUCCUUAGUCACAUUGAGCUCAUGAUGAUGUUCUACCGAGUGGGACCAGAGAUACCUCUCCGUCACGCGGAGUGACAAAUCCCGAUCUCGAUUCGUACCAACCCAACAGACACUUUCAGAGGUACCCGUAGUGCACCUUUAUAGUCACCCAGUUACGUUGUGACGUUUGAUACACCCAAAGCACUCCUACGGUAUCCGGGAGUUGCACAAUCUCACGGUCGAAGGAAAAGACACUUGCCAUUAGAAAAGCUUUAGCAUACGAACAAUACGAUCUAGUGCUAUGCUUAGGAUUGGGUCUUGUCCAUCACAUCAUUCUCCCAAUGAUGUGAUCCCGUUAUCAAUGACAUCUAAUGCCCAUGACCAGGAAACCAUGAUCAUCUAUUGACUAACGAGCUAGCCAACUAGAGGCUUGCUAGGGACACAUUGUGAUAUAUUUAUUCACCCAUGUAUUACUGUUUCCUAUUAAUACAACUAUAGCAUGAACAAUAGACGAUUAUCAUGAACAAGGAAAUAUGAUAAUAACCAUUUCAUUAUUGCCUCUAGGGCAUAUUUUUAACAGAAAUGUCAAGCGAGGCUUGGAAGACAACGAUGUUGACGUCUAUAAGGUGGAGUGCCCGAAUGAAGGGGCCAUUGGUGGCGAUGUUCAUUCCUUGCUAGAAGGAGGAGGCGAAGGGACACCACAAGAUGAGAUGCUCACAAGUCUCCGGGAGGUCGGGGCUGAGAGAACAAUCAACCCCCUCAACACCAAUGAUGGUUUUCCAGAGGAGGAUGCCACCCGUGUGGAUGCCGGAAAGGGUGAGCAGUGAAGCAAAAAAAAUUGACCCGCAACGAGACCCUGGAAGCCCAACUCAUGGCAGUGUAUGGUGCCGCACGGGACAACUCAUAGAGGUGAGCAGUCGACAGAGUACCACACACACUACCACAUAGGGGAAAGCCGACGAUCAUCAGGGUAGUUGGAGGAGGCGAACCAAGGUGAUCAUGUCCCAAAUUAUGUAGUCUACAAUUUAUUUUAUUAAACUUUACAUGUCCCAAAAUAUUAGUACAAAGUUAAGUCAUUUUUGAGUCACUUAUUUUGGGACGGAUGGAGUAUAUGAUUUCACAGUUUUUUUGAAAACUUUGAAAUGACAGUUUCAUUUUCUGCAAAGUAUCGAACUUCGACCUAAGAUGUCGCUCUCUAGGAGGAAGCGUUUCCUCAGCAUGAUCGAUGCAAAUAUAAUAGGAUGACGUAGGCGGGUUAUAAGAUAUGCCACAUAAUUUUUUUGUCUAGUUGAACUAAAGGAAAAGAUGAGAGAGAAAAGAAGCAGGCUGUAGAGUUACAACCGGCUGUAGCACGGACUCCAACACCCUUUGCGAGAGAGACAAAUGAGUGAUAUAUUCAUGAUAUGAUAACUUCGUAUAGACGGUUGUUGGCUACACUAUUAACCUUGCUCUUAAACACAGACACACAGUGACGGUGCCGGCUCAGUCUCUCGAAGACGCUCAUAGGGAUAGGAUAUGCAUGCGGGCGUUCAUAGGGGUGAGUGUAUGUUUAUGUAUGUGAGCGACUUCGAUUAUACUCUGUUAAAAAAGACAUGUUGUAGUGGAGCUAUAGCGUGAUAUUUAGAACCAUGUUAUUUAACCAUGUACAUCCCUCCUGUAUGAUUAAAAGGAAUAUAAUAAAACAAAAUAAAGGAGAUAUAUAUAGCUCGUAACGCAGAGUUAAGUACUCCCUUCGUUCCAAAAUAUAAGACCUUUUAGAGAUUUCACUAGAAGACUACAUACGGAACAAAAUGAAUGAAUAUAUACUCUAAAAUAUGUCUAUAUACAUCCGUAUGUAGUUUAUAGUAUAAUCUUUAAAAGGUCUUAUAUUUAGAAAGGGAGGGAGUAACUUUUUCGUUCUUUAGUUAUCCACGGUUUCAAUAUAGAACUCUAUUUUUUUUUUUCUCUAGCAGCUCGUCGAUCAUCACUAAGUAGGUGCAGAAUUGCAGAUUCCAGGAUAGCGACCUAACCUUCCUUUCCUACAUAUACCAGACCUACUGAGGUCCAUGGGAAUUAUCAAUCGAGUAGCCGCUAGCCACUCGCCAUCAUGGAGGUGGCAGCGAACGUAGCAACUCCGCCAAGUCGUCUACGCUCUGUCCGUGUGUCGGCAGAGAUGGAAUGUGCUGACAGUUCCACGGCGGAGGAGCUGGAGCCCAUGAGCCCUACCGGAAGAAUCUUGGAGGAGAUGGGCGUCUGCAUCGUCGUAGUGAUGGGGCUCGGCACGCCGGUAAACCUACCCGUCUUCCGUGCCGGCAUCGAAACGGAACUGGUCACCCGAUUCCCACGCUUCAGCAGCAUUCAAGUAAUUACAAGAACUUUCGUUUAAUCUGUGUGGUUCGUGUAUAUAUGUAUUUGAAAUAAUUUACCAUCUGCUUCUAUAUGUAUCCUAAUUAAUCAUCUGCCCACAAUAUUGCAUGUGUAAAAGGUAAUGGAUGGAUGCAAGGAUGGCAAACCAGGAUGGGUGCAAACCAAGGUGAACGUGGACGACCACAUCGUCGUCCCUGUGCUUGAUCCUGCUGCAGUUGUUUCUGACCCGGACAAGACCGUGGAGGACUACAUGGCCUCCCUGUCAACGCUCCCGAUGGACAAGCGUCGCCCGCUUUGGGAGUUCCACUUCCUCGACUUCCCAACCUCCGAGGCGACCUCCACGGCGGUGCUCCGGCUACACCACUCCAUCGGCGACGCCAUGUCAAUCAUGACACUCUUCAUGGCGUCCUCAUGCAGCACAGCUGACCCAUCGAGGCUGCCGGCCAUGCCGCCGCCGCCCAAGCGCACUGGCGCCAUCUACCAACGGCACCCACGGCCUGCGCUGUCCUCGUUAGGCGAUUAUCUGGCGUGGGUAUGGUCGUAUUUCUUGCUGGUGUGGCACACGCUGGUGGACAUCAUGUUCCUUGCUGCCACCAUACUGUUCUUGAGUGAUCCACGCACGCUGUUCAAACGUGCGGACAACGGCGAGUGUCACCGCCGCCAGCGUUUUGUGCAUCGGAGCAUUAGCCUUGACGAUGUCAAGCUCAUCAAGACUAUCAUGAACUGCGUAAGUAGAGCCGUUUAAACUUUUUAUAUUAUCUAAGUGAAACAACGCUACAAAUAAAUUUAAUAAAAACUGCUACAAAAACCGCACAUCGAGGUACCCACCAUCCUGUUAUAAUGUUUUGUAUGCUGUAGUCGAGGGUCUAGAUAGAAGUUUUAAAUAGCGUCCUAUAGCUUUUGGAGAGCCCUCCAACUAAAGCUAUACAUUUUUAACGCUAGACUGAAAAAGACGCUAAUAGUUUGCUAAUUUCCGUUAUAGCGCCUAUAUCUGACUUAUUCUAACCUUAUUCUUGAUAUGUAUGAUGCAUUAAUCCAAGUGUUGGUAACUGAAUUAGGACGCCUGAUCAAUGCUUGAAUUUUACUGUAUAUGAUAUAUCACAUAUGAUGCCUGAUUGUAUGCUUAUUUUUCUAGAGAAAUUAUGGUUUAACAAAAAUGCUAAAUGAGGCCACCGUUAAAUGGCUUAACCUGCUAUUUAAACUUUGGUUUGGAUUAUGUUUAGCUCUGUAUUUUAUAAAAAAUUGAUGAAGGAGUCUACAUAGAACGUUGGAAGAUAUCCCGACAAUUUCUUGGCAAGAUUCAAAUGGUUACUAACAUGGUAGAGGCAACAUUUUUUACAUUUUAAAUCCUCCUCAAACAAUUCAGAACAAAACAUAUAACAAGGAAUGUUCAAAAUAANUUAAAUUAAAUAUGUGGCCUGGCCUUACAAUGCAUAGGUUCAAUGACUAGUUGUUCAAUAGCACGGCUCUGACCCCCUAAGGGCAUCUACAAUGGUGCACUUCAAUAGGGGCACCGGGAUUUUAAACCUGAUCAAUUGGUGGUUAUCCUGACAUCGAGGCUAGAAGUAGAGGCGUACAUGAUUUGCGUCUUGUCAAGUGCCUUGCCUUGAACGAGAGGGUGCUUAGCUCAUUUUCCAAAUUUGGUGCCCAUUUAAGAGUCCAACAUCGUAGAUGACCUCAUAAAGCUAACAGAAAUAUGACUCGCUUGAUGGACGACGCUUUUUGAUUUAACUCAAUGGACAAGUUUGUCUUUCCUUUUCAUUUUUGCAGACUCUAAACGAUGUGCUAGUUGGUGUGACUUCAGCAGCUCUUUCACAAUACUACUUUAGAAAGUCUGGUAAGUGGUUCAACUAACAACGACUAUAUGUCUGGUUUUGCAUCGACAUGUAAUUUUCACACAUUGCUCUAUUAUCUUCAAAUUAGGUCACACCAACACUAAGCGAAUCUAUUUGCGAUCAUUUGUCCCUGUCAACAUAAGGCCAAUCUCUAGUCGACAAGUAAGAAUUUCAUUUAUUUUUCUUCUUAUGAUAGAUUUUUAAGAUAUAUUGAAAUGAAACAUUGUGACAGGAUCUUCCUACUUUGCUAAGAAUAUGCAGUUUCUUUAAUUUUAUUCUUAAACAAUGAACAGACAUACGUUACCAAGGUACAUACAGGGAAUCGACUUAGCAGCCUCAUCUGCCCAUUUCACAUAGCCUUGCAUAGUGAUCCCCUUGAGUAUGUUCGCAAGGCAAACAAAUCUAUGCUCAGGAAAAAGAGUUCUUUAGAAGUGUUGUUCACACAAGUUGUUGGUGAAUUUUUGGUGAAAUACUUCGGUGUAAAGGUAUAUAUAUCUCAUUCUGCUUUUCUACUUUUACUAUUCAUGUUUCUAAAUACAUUGCAACUUGCCAAUGAAAGCAGAUUGGAGCUUUUAUCUUCCACCGCUUGGGCUCACAUACAACCAUAGCCUUAUCAAAUGUCGUUGGACCAGCUGAACACAUAACAUUAUGUGGGCACCCAAUUGUCUUCAUGGCGACUAGCACCUACGGGCAACCACAAGUAUGUCACCUAUGUUCUUACAUCCAAAAUAUAACCAUCCUUAGAUUUCUUAUACUAGAGACAAUGAAACAUCCUCAUAUCACUGAGUAGUAGCGACUGCACGUACAUUCUAUCAUAACUAAGCUUUUAUAUCAAGAGGUAGCUACUGUUUUCCCCGUAAGCAUUAACUUUCCAAUAAAAAGGUAAAGUCUACCUUCUUUUUAGUGAAUGGAAAAAUCAAAUUUACGUGCAAGGGUGUGCAUUCAGGUUUAGGCUUUACCUAAUUAUGCAUAUUCAUAAUUUCUAAAAACAUUUAUAGAUGUGCAUCAUGUUACAAAAUGAGCACCUUAGGAAUUAUAUUCAAGCCAAAGUGGGAUUGAGUAUGUACUCCAUAAAAAUGCGAAGUGGCUGUUGUCACACUAUUAAAAAACACUUUAAAUAUAUUUAACUCAUUUAGUAUUCAAUUGUCCGGAUUUCUUGUGUAGGCUCUCACCAUGCACUACCUAAAUUACGGUGGUACUAUGAAGGUAAUUAUGGCAGUUGAUGACACACAAUUUCCAGACUGUCAGCAGAUUUUGGAUGAUUUUGCCGAGUCCAUCAGGCUCAUUAAGGAUGCAGCGAUCCUAAGCAAAUUAACAACGUCGACAAAAUGACCGUGUAAUGGCAGUUGAAUAUGAGCACCAUGUUAAUGGCAGUUGAAUGUAUGCCAUUAUCAAAAUCAAUUGCUACUCAUGUACUCGCAAUUUUGUUUUGCGGGUUUACNNNNNNNNNNNNNNNNNNNNNNNNNNNNNNNNNNNNNNNNNGCAUGCGCACGCACGAGCGCGCCUGUGUGUGUCAUGUGUUAAUAUUUUAUGUCAAUCACCAUUGUGUUCAGUCUUUUCCCUGUAGCAUGCAAUUGGUUAUCAUAUUCAGCCAAUCAUGCAUAGACGUUUAAACUAAGAUUUUCUUUUCUUAAGAGAAGUCAAAAGACAGUCCUCCUCGGUCGAGCACCAGAGGGCCGUCGCCAAUAACCUCUGUCGGCCACGCUUUCACUCCGGUUUACCCAACCAAGAUGGCACCUUGUUCACCUAUUGCAUAUACGUCCAACAAUGACUCAACUCGCGAGGUCUUCGUGGAGGGAGCAUGUUCUAGUGCGGUCACCAGCCGCGACAGCCCGAUGACCCAUAGUUCUUGAUAAAUAUGUCAUUAACUCUUGUGGAAUCAGUUGUUCGGCUGUGAAGUGCAAAUGUUUAAAAUAUUUGUAAGCUUCCCCCAGUGAAGAACUAAUAUAUCAAUCCGCCGAGUCUUGGUUUUUGCAGCCAAUGAUCAGUACAUGCAUACAAGUACUAAGAUACUUCACUUAGUGCCCAACACUCGUAGUAAGGGUGUCAACCUUACUAGGCUUUCUAGUGUCAAGUAUUAAUUUAUUUUGUAUUUGGAAUUGAUGAUUGUAAGUAAAUAAUACAAUAGUUCAGAUUGUAAACAAUAAGAAAAAGAGUUGAUGGAGGUUGUAUCAAUGAGGAAUAAUGGACCGGGAUCAAUAACUUUAUUAGUGGAAUCUCUCCAUAAAGCAUAACACAGGUGUCACGGACACGUUACAGUUACAUAUCGAUUAAAUUACGGUUUUUAUUGACCAUACAUGUCAUGGUUUCAUAAAGGAAUUACAUGUGUACAUCUAUGGACAGUUAUCCAAUUGCGUUUAUAGCUAAUUCUCCACUAGAGACAACUAUUCAUCAUGCAUCUCAAAGUAUUAUGUAAAAACAGAGCGUUGCAUUAAGCAAGGAGACAUAAUGUUGACAAUAUAUUGUGUUUACCUCUAGUUUAUCACUGAGACAACUACAAAACUACUUUCUCUGUCCAGAAUUAGUUUUCGCUCAAAUGGAUGUAUUAGUUGUCGCUCAAAUGUAUGUAUCUAGCACCACAUUCAUUUGAUCGAUAACUAAUUUCGGACGAAAGGAGUAUCUUUUUUUACCCUUAGUGGCAAUAACACAAUACAAGCCUUUUGCCAUUUCUUAAACUAAUAUAGACUACUUGCAAGGCUAAACCCAACUAACAUACAUAACCCCCUUCCUUGGAGAUGGUUCAUCUAAACAUGGGCAAUGAAAAGAAUACUGGACCAGCGACCAUAUAUGUCCAUAAAUCAUGGAGAAAAAAGCUCACAUGGAUCCAAAAUAAACAAUAUAUAAAUAUUGUCAUAAAGUGAUAAUUCAACACACCACACCAAACACAUCAUUAAUUAAAUCAGAUGGAUCACAAUCAUGUUAGGAAGCUCAUGUAAUACCUCUAUUGCCCAACAAGGGAGAUAGGUUGCCAUGUGGCUACUGUUAUGGAGCCAUAAUCCAAGGAGUACUACUCACCCAUGGACAUGGUGGUAGCAAGGUCAAUGUAUAUACGAGAAAAGCCCCCCCCCCCAAAUUUGCAUCAUCAAAGAACAAGAGGUGGCAAACAAAUACUUGAUAAUUAAAUUGGGUGUUUUGGGAGUAUAUAAAGGUAUGGGCACCGGUAGAGCAGAGGGGUGCCAUAAGGACCAGGACCUCACAUGGUCCCACCCGACGGCCCACAAGCUGGUCACGUUGGUCUAUUGUGUGGGUGCCCUGGGGACUCUUUCUCUGACCCAUGGCUUUAUCCUGAUGAGAAACUUUCGAAAAUAUUUGUCCAAUGUUUUUCUUCCCGAAAAGCACGGUUUUCGGAAACUAAAAAACAUGAAAAAUGUCAACUAACAAUAUGCACUCGACUAAUAGACUUGUCCAAUAAAAUGAUAUAAAAUCAUGCCAAAACUAUGCCAUAAUGAUCUAAAAGUGGCAUGAACAUAUCAAGAAUCCUAGUUGCAAUUGAAACACAUCAACAUCACCAAUCUUAAUCAAAGCUCCACUUUGAACAAGUACAUGAUAAACACAUAAUGUUUGCCUCCGAAUGCUACCUUAACAUGUACUUGAUUAUGUGAUGCAGUCUGAUAAUGUUUAACUCAAAUGAUUAGCGAUGCAACACAAUUGUUUAUAGUCGAUAGUAAGCAAGUAACAUCAAAACACACUAAUAAACCAGCUCUUGUUUCUUAUGAAUCAAUGCUUUCAAAUUGAAGUUUUACCUCAACAAAAAUAAAAAUAAAACCAAUAUUAUGGAGGGAAGUCAAUAUUACUUGACAACCAAAUCACAAUAUAGUAUUACCGAAUUAUCUAUGUAACACUAGUACAAUAUUUGAGCGUGAGCCUACGCCGUGCUUAUAACUUGUGGGGAAAAGGAAUAACGAUGUUUUUUUUUGAGAAGUCAAAAAGGAAGAUUUUUUGCAUGAAUGCAAUUGAUUAUUAGGCAAUUAAGAGACGCUAUAAUUGAUAUUAAUUCAAGUAUUAGAGAUUACCAUGAAAUAAUUGUACUAGAGAUACUCUCUCCGCCCAAAGUUCUUAUCUUAGAUUUGUCUAGAUAUGAAUGUAUCUAGUCACAUUUUAGUAUUUAGAUACAUCUAUUUUUAGACAACCUAAGAAAAGAAUUUUGGCACGGAGGGAGUAUAUGUGUAUGAAAGCUAUCAUUUGGACCAGUGAGGGUGUGCAUACAACUUGCUUGCUCAUGAGACCUAUUCAUCAUGGAAUAUACAAACCAAAUUCUACAACUUGCUAUUGUGUGGUCACAUCCAAAAUCCUUAUCAGCAAUUGCCAAUAGAAAUAUGUCAAAAUCCAAAUAAUGUUUGCUCACAAUGUACAUACGGGGUCCACCUUAGAAAUGUUUAUUGAUAAAAUUGUAAUAUAUUAGCAAACAAUUGAAUGCAUAAAAGUAUCUUGGCGGCUAUGGUAAUGACAUGGUGAGGAAGAGUACCUAAUAACCUUGUGCAUGGUAAAUUUUGGCCAGUAUAUGUUUUCACAUAUUUCUGUGUGUACCUAAAGGCACACUAAAGUUAAAGAGCCAAUUGAAUAAAUAAACAAGAACAAAUAUAGCAAGACAUAGUGAAUCUUGCCACGCACCGGCGGCUCCUGCAGGGGCCUCGGACAAGAAGCGGACGUAGCCAUCCCCGGCGAUGUAGACUAACUUGUUCUCUUUCGGCGAUUGCCAUCAGUACACGCAUCAGCGCUUGGCUGCUUGCUGCACCGAUGCAGCCAUGUUCUCUGUCCUCGGAUGGUCCAAUGGGAGAUCGAUUAGGGUUAUGGCGGGUUUGUCCAGACCCAGACGUCGCGUCCCGGUGACUAGUCUAGACUCUGCAGACAUGGACGCCCGUCGCACUUGAUGCCAUCCAUGUCUGUCGCGGCACGCCGCGUGGCACUGCCCAUGCCGGUCAGUGCACGCCCGUCGCGGCAGCGCUGCAGGAAUCCACAGUCUGGCGCUUCGAGUCUACAUGCCGAUCCCGGAAUAUAGGGAGCUCGCCAUUGGACAGAAGUAGGAAGGAUAAGAUUGCCUGCUUGCAUGGUAGGUUAGUGGUGCCUUUCCGUUUACAGGCCGAGGUACGGCCGGCUGCUCCACGGCCAAAUGCCCCUGAUUGCGCCACUUGCUUGCCGCCGGGGUGACCCGCGACUAGUACACUGACAUGGAUGCCCGGCGCACGAGGUGUACGCAUAUGUGUGGCGGCAGGCGGGGUGUCACUCUCCGUCCCGGUUGGUAGACGCCCGUCGCGGCCGCUGUGACAGUGCUGCAGCCUGCAGGGCUCGUCGGCGAGUUAGGACCGUGAUGGACGUAGUCGUUCAGGCCAGGGAUCCACGUCCACAGUACUCUCGGUACUUCGAGUGUACUUGGUGAACUGGCGAUUGCCUUUUUUGUUGAGCUUCAAGGCGAUCGCCAUUAGCGCUAGUACUGCAGUAUCUGGAACUGGGGGUACGUGCAUCCAUCCAAUCCUUUUUCUUCCGGGUAACUUGAAGAGCUUUAUUUCAUAUGAAAGUCAACCCAGGACAGUCCGCCAAGAGACCGGAGGAAGCUAGGAGUUACAUCGAGCCAGCUUUCGGUCACAUUUAAAGUGCAAGCAUGUUUUGCACAAAGAUGAGUCGGGAUGUUAGCUGACCUACUAACAUGAAUUAAACUAAAUGAAAAGAAAAUGUUACUGAGCUCUCCUAUUUCUAGAAAGGAUAGGAGCCACAAUUGAGCAAGAAUUGUAGCGAGUGUUCCAGAUUUUAACCAACUCUAGGCAAUCCACUUUCAUCAACACAUGAGAGAAACCCCUAAGAGCAGCGAAACGGACACCACCCCGCAGUGCGAAGGCUUCAGUGAUCAAGGGAUCCGAGACCCCCAAAUAAGGUUUGCACCAAGAUCCUAGCAGGCUUGUCGAUGAACGGGCGACGCCUCCUGCACCGCCCCUUGCUUUUGCGAAACUAAGCGCACCAUCUGUGUUAAUCUUCACAAACCCCUCAUCAGGUGGCCGCCAACCAAAACCUCGCAGAAUAGCGGCAGCUUCCCGAGGGAGGUUCAGCAAAGCAAUCGCCUCCCUAGUGGAUCGCAUGGUUGACACCGGAUCCCGGGCAUCCUCCCCGUGCUUAACACGGUUCCGGGAGUGCCAGAUUGACCACAUAAUGGUUGUGAUCUUCGCACGCUCAUCGUCAGUGAACCGAGGAUCACAAGUAAUGUCCCUUGCCCAAGAACUCUGAUGGAGGUUGGUAGCCUGCACCUCAGAAUCUGCAAUGUGUCGAUGCUUCAUUGUACUUUCAGCAGGUAGAAUGCCCCGAAGCACUCUCCACCAAAAAACCCUGACUUUCGGAAUGACUUUUAGUUUCCAUAAGGCCUUCCAUAACUAUUGAUCGUUUUAUGAGGUUCCGGUAGCCGCCCUUCCUCUUGAGCACGCAGCUCUUCCUGAGUCACUAGAGCACGGUACGCCAUCUUGACAAUAUAGUUGCCUGAUUUAUCAAAAGCCCAAGCAAGGAAAUCCUCCCCUCCACCCUGCCGAAUUGGAAUGUUCAGUAUAGCAGCAGUGUUAGAAGGAGAAAAAAUGUCCCUAACAACAUCCUGUCGCCAUGACCAAGUAUCAAUAUCAAUCAGUUCAGAGACUUUCUCAAUACUUGUCAUCGAUGGCUGCACUUGUGGGAUAAUUGAAAUGGUUCCUGGAAUCCAUUUAUCCGUCCACACACAGAUUGAUGUGCCGUCGCCCAUUCGUGAGAUCAGGCCCAAACUGAGAGCUUCCCUUCCCGCUAUGAUCGCCUUCCAAGUGGGCGAUGCCGAUUUUGGGACUGUAGCUUGCAUGAAGUCUGAAUCCGGGAAGUAGCGCCCUUUUAAAACUCUUGUGCAUAGGGAGUUCGCGUUGGUGAUAAGACACCAUCUGUGUUUCCCUAACAUUGCAAGGUUGAAUUGGUGUGGGUCUCGGAAGCCCAUGCCACCAUUGCACUUGGGUGUAGAUAAUUCCUUCCAAGACACCCAGUUCAUGGAUUUUUUAUCAAGAGAAUUGCUCCAAAAGUACCGAGCCAUAGGAGAAGUCAGGCUCUUGCAAACCUUUUUUUGAAAAUAGAAAAGUGCUCAUCAGAUAGGUCGGCAUUGCUUGGAUGACUGAUUUCAGAAGUGUUUCCCGUCCAGUACAUGCUAACACCUUCUCCGACCAACCUUGAAUUUUUGCACGAGAUCGAUCCCCAAUAUAUUGAAAGGUACCGCUCGUAAUUCGUCUCACGACUGUCGGCAGUCCAAGAUAUCUUUUAUUGAACGCCUCCACCUGGAUAUUUAGUGUUGCUUUCUUGUUUUGCUUCACAGAGUCAGGAGCGUUAGAGCUAAAGUAAAUGGAACUUUUAUCAUGGUUAAUGUGCUGACCUGAAGCAUCCCCAUAAAUCCGCAAGGUUUCAUUGAGUCUGAGAGCACUCUGGUUUUGUGCGUUGAUGAAGAUGAUGCUAUCAUUAGCGAACAAAAGAUGGGAUACCCGAGGAGCUCUGUAGCUGACUUGCAAGCCUCUGUCGAUUGUUCCCCCAUUGUAAAACUUCAAAAUCAAGGAGAAACCUUCUGCACCGAGCAAGAACAAAAAAGGUGACACUAGUAGAAAACAGGGCUACCGUUCAGCCCUGGCCAGCCCAUUAGUCCCGGUUCUUCAAGAACCGGGACCAAUGGGGGGUAUUAGACCCGGUUCGUGAGCCCAGGGGGCCGGCCGGGGCCUCGUGGGCAUUGGUCCCGGUUCGUGUGGAACCAUUUGUCCCGGUUCGAGCCACGAACCGAGACCAAUGGUCCUCGCUGCUGGCCCACAACCUUUAGUACCGGUUCAUGCCACGAACCGAGACAAAUAACUUGCCUACAUAUAUACCCACCGCCGCGGCAGAGCACUCCACAAUGCUCUGUUUUUGUCGAGCCGGCGAGGGGAGGGCAUUUGGGUGCUCUAGUUCACCUCCUAUGCACAUGAGGUGUUCGAUGAAAUGCCCGAGCCACACUAGUUAAGCUUUCUCCUACCGAAACUCGACCUCCGAGCUCCAUUUUCAACGAGACUUGUCUAGAUUUAGCGGUCCGUCACGCCCCGUCCCCGCCCCGUCUUCACCGCCGUCGAUCGCCCGCGCCGAUCUCGUCGCCGGCACCACCGUGGUGAGCCUCUUGUUCUUAUCUUCUUUCUGAAAGAAAAAAAAUUCUGACUUCAGAUAGAUACUUGUCUAAUUUUCUUACUUUUAUUAUUCCUUCUUAUUAUAUAGUGCGAUGGUUGUGGUAUCCGCCCCCGUCGGCCCUCGUCCUGUCUAUGAUUCAGAUGUGGUAUAUAUUAUCUUUUCAUAACUAUUUGGUUCAUUUAUUGUUUAUGACAAUUAUGAUGACCAACGUGACAUAUAUUUUUAAUCUAGGAGGUAUGUGAACCGGAAAUUCCAACCCACCUACAAAUGCUUCUCGAGAAGUUAACUUUGGUUGAAAAAGAAAACAAAUUGUUGAAGGAAAAAUUGAAAAUAAUUGAGGAUAAGAAUAUGAAAAUGGAGUUGCAUGUUGCCGAGGUCAUUGACGAUCGCAAGAUGAAGAUCUAUGCGAUGCGGUUGAAGAUGGAUGAAAUGCGCUUGAAGAUUAGGAAUAUUAGAAAAUAUGCCAUUGAUAAAGAGGCUUGGUAUCAUUAUGCUGUUGGGUCAAUUGUUACCUUACUUGCGACUUUGAUCGCGUUUGUUGUUGCAUUUAAAUGUUUUACAUAGUUGUAUGUUGUUUUAUGAGAGAACUUUAUGUAUUUAUUUUUCAAUAAUAACAUUUGAUCACUAUUGUGCUUUGGUUUUAAUGUGAUGAUGACUUUGUAUUAAUUUGGUCAUUUCUCUAUUCAUUUUGUUCUGCAAUGAUUUUUUGAUAUAUACUUAAUUUCAUAAUAGAGAUGAACAGCCAAUGGAUGUACGGUGACCGACGCACUUUGGAGUACAUUACGAACCGGGACUAAUGCCCGAGUCGAAAAGGGUUGUAAAUGGAUGAUGUGGCUUUGAAUGAUGCAUUUUGAACACAGAAAAACUAUGGAGUUCAAAUAAGUUCUAAAAAAAAUGAAAUCCCUUUGUAACAAACGAGUUUCCGUAUGAAACCCUCAUACUUCGAAAGAGAUUGUCCGUUUUGUACACGAAGUGCAUCCAGUUUUUUCCGUAACCCUCUCAACUUUCUCGCACAUGCUAUGUGUGUGAAAUGAUGAUACCAUGCCAACUUGGAGCCUUUUCAGAGUUCAUUUCAAAUGCUUUUCAAUUUCAUGGUCUUAUAGCUCAUAAUAAUCAGUAAAUGCAUGAAAAAUAACAAAUGAAGUCAGAAAGGGUUGUAAAUUGAUGAUGUGGCUUUGAAUGGCGCAUUUUGAACACAGAAAAACUAUGGAGUUCAAAUAAGUUAAAAAAAAUGAAAUACCUUUUGUAACAGACGAGUUUCCGUAUGAAACCCUGAUACUUCGAAAGAGAUUGUCCGUUUUGUACAUGAAGUGCAUCCAGUUUUUGCCAUAACCCUCUCAACUUUCUCGCACAUGCUAUGUGGGUGAAAUGAUGAUACCAUGCCAACUUGGAACCUUUUCAGAGUUCAUUUGAAAUGCUUUUCAAUUUCAUGGUCUUAUAGCUCAAAAUAAUCAGUAAAUGCAUGAAAAAUAACAAAUGAAGUCAGAAAGGGUUGUAAAUUAAUGAUGUGGCUUUGAAUGGUGCAUUUUGAACACAGAAAAACUAUGGAGUUCAAAUAAGUUCAAAAAAAUGAAAUCCCUUUGUAACACACGAGUUUCCGUAUGAAACCCUGAUACUUCGAAAGAGAUUGUCCGUUUUGUACACGAAGUGCAUCCAGUUUUUGCCGUAACCCUCUCAACUUUCUCGCACAUGCUAUGUGGGUGAAAUGAUGAUACCAUGCCAACUUGGAACCUUUUCAGAGUUCAUUUCAAAUGUUUUUCAAUUUCAUGGUCUUAUAGCUCAAAAUAAUCAGUAAAUGCAUGAAAAAUAACAAAUGAAGUUAGAAAGCGUUGUAAAUUGAUGAUGUGGCUUUGAAUGAUGCAUUUUGAACACAAAAAAACUAUGAAGUUCAAAUAAGUUCAAAAAAAUAAGUUCAAAUAAGUUCCUGAUAUCAAGUAAUUAUUUUCUUUGUCUGACAGGGUUUGGAAAAAUUCACCGCAAAAACUCCGGGACUGCCGAAGAAGCUGCAAUUUAGACACCCGAAAGUAAGUAUUAUAGUAGCAUGUUCCACGCAUCUGCUAGUGAUUCAAGCACUAGUUUCAUCAAUACCAUUUAGCAUGCUUGCUAACUAUCAGUUUGAUUGACCUCUAUUUCUUGUAAAGUGUUUGUGGCAGGAACCAGGGAAUGAUUACUGUGGAUACUACAUUUGCGAGUCCAUCCGCCACGUGACCUGUGAGCGGGGCUACUCUUACAAACAAUAUGGCGUGCGUAAAUAAUAAUAUUCACAAUUUUAUUUUAUUACCAUCAUUUGUGUUCAGUUUCAUUUAUUCAUAUAUAUGUGUUGAUCCCCUUCUUCAAAUUAGAUAUAUCGGAUGCGGAAUGAACUCCUACCAGCAGAUCGUAUGCGAGGAAUUCAAGAGGAAUUGGCGGCAUUCUUUCUUGACCACGUGAUCGCUAAAGACGGAGAAUACCAUGUGAACCCUAAUGAGUUGAAUUUUAAUUAGGAGAUUAUAUUGUAAGAGAUAAUUAUAUUGUAUAUAUGUAGCCAGUAGCGUCGGAUAGAUAUACGAGAACUUGUUGUUUGACCAAUCUCUCUGAGAAGGAGAGGUGGUCGAUAUCACUUCUCUUUGUAUGCAUAUGUUCAUGAUGAUCUUCUGUUUCCUUCAUUUGCUUACUAGCUAGCGUGUCUAGUCCUCUCUAUACGUAUAGUAUGCAGCAUUGACCAAGCACGGAGAUAAGAGAGGACACUUCUCUCUAUUCAUUAGCUAGCUAACACAAUAUAUGAAACACCUAAAUUAACCCCCCAAAACCCCCUAACCCCCCCCCUUCAAAAAAAACCCAUCACCUGAAAUGCUGACGAGUGGAUGCCUUUUGGUCCCGGUUGGUGUCACCAACCGGGACUAAAGGCCCCCCUGCCCGGGCUCGCCGCACCGGCCACGUGGAGGCCCAUCUGUCUCGGUUUGUGUAAGAACCAGGACUAAAGGCCAAGGGCAUUAGUAACGACCUUUUAGUCCCGGUUUCGAAACCGGAACAGAAGGCCCUUACGAACCGGGACAAAAGGCCCUUUUUCUACUAGUGUGAAACUGGAUCACCUUGACGGAACCCCUGGAAGGGGUAAAGAGAGGCAACAACUCUCCGUUCACUCGGACAGAGAAUCUGAUAGAGGAGAUACAUUUCGAAAUCAGCAUAAUAAAGACAAAGCUCAAACCCAGUUUUGAUAGGAUUGCCUCAAGAUAGUGCCACUCGACGCGAUCAUAGGCUUUCAUCAUGUCCAGCUUGACCGCACAAGAAUAAUUCUUCCCUUUUUUCCUUCUCUUCAUAGUGUGCAUACUUUCAUAUGCAACAAGAACGUUAUCAAUUAUGAGUCGGCCAGGGAUAAACACACUUUGUUCUUCACUAAUAAUCUCAUCCAUGAAUGGUCUCAUGCGGUUGGUAAUAGCUUUAGCAGCUAUCUUGUAGAGAACAGAGCAUAGUGGGAUAGGCCGGUACUGAGCUAUGGACUAGGAAUGACUAACUUUGUGAUGAGUGUGAUCGAAGUGUCGUUCAAACCCAUAGGUAGUUCCCCUCCAUUGAGAAAUUCCAAGAUUGCAUUGGUCACUUCUUUGCCUAAAAGCAACUAGUGGCGUUGAUAGAAACCAGCAGUAUAACCAUCGAUGCCGGGAGCCUUUGAGGGCGCCAUCUGAAACAACGCAUCCUUAACUUCUGAAUCAGUGUAGGGCUUGGUGAGCAUAAACUUCAUAAUUGGUGUAACUUUCACCGGAACAUGGUCGAGUAAGAUGCUGGCAUCCACAAAGACCUCUUACAGGUAGAGGUGUUCAUAGAAAUUCUGCACCUCAGCCUUGUCCUCAUUGUCAUCUGCACAAAACGACCUGUCAGCUCUCUGGAGUCUUCGAAUUUUAUUAACACGUUUGCGCUGUCGGGCUUGUGCAUGGAAGUAGGAGGUAUUGCGAUCUCCUUCCCGAAGCCACGGCACUCGAGAACGUUGCCGGAACCAUAUCUCUUCCUGGUAAAGUGCUUCCUUCAGCUUUUGUACUGUAUGUUUUUCCUCAUCAGAAGGACCGCACCCAACCGAUUGAGAGCGGAGAAGAUCAAGCUUCUUCUGAAGAUUUCUAACUAAUCUCGAGAGACUUCCAAACUCCUUCGAACUCCAAGGUUCUACUGUUGGGUAACGUCGCAUGGGAAACAAAAAUUUUCCUACGCGCACGAAGACCUAUCAUGGUGAUGUCCAUCUACGAGAGGGGAUGAGUGAUCUACGUACCCUUGUAGAUCGUACAGCAGAAGCGUUAGUGAACGCGGUUGAUGUAGUGGAACGUCCUCACGUCCCUCGAUCCGCCCCGCGAACAAUCCCACGAUCAGUCCCACGAUCUAGUGCCGAACGGACGGCACCUCCACGUUCAGCACACGUACAGCUCGACGAUGAUCUCGGCCUUCUUGAUCCAGCAAGAGAGACGGAGAGGUAGAAGAGUUCUCCGACAGCGUGACGGCGCUCCGGAGGUUGGUGAUGACCUUGUCUCAGCAGGGCUCCGCCCGAGCUCCGCAGAAACGCGAUCUAGAGGAAAAACCGUGGAGGUAUGUGGUCGGGCUGCCGUGGAAAAGUCGUCUCAAAUCAGCCCUAAAACCUCCGUAUAUAUAGGUGGGAGGGAGGGGACCUUGCCUUGGGGCUCAAGGAGCCCCAAGGGGGUCGGCCGAGCCAAGGGGGGAAGGCUCCCCCCCCAAACCGAGUUGGACUUGGUUUGGUGGGUGGGAGUCCUUCCUUCCCUUCCCACCUCCUUUUUUUUCUUUUCUCUUUGAUUUUCUUUCCUAGGCGCAUAGGGCCCUUUUGGGCUGUCCCACCAGCCCACUAAGGGCUGGUGUGCCACCCUCAAGGCCUAUGGGCUUCCCCGGGGUGGGUUGCCCCCCCCGGUGAACUCCCGGAACCCAUUCGUCAUUCCCAGUACAUUCCCGGUAACUCCGAAAACCUUCCGGUAAUCAAAUGAGGUCAUCCUAUAUAUCAAUCUUCGUUUUCGGACUAUUCCGGAAACCCUCGUGACGUCCGUGAUCUCAUCCGGGACUCCGAACAACAUUCGGUAACCAACCAUAUAACUCAAAUACGCAUAAAACAACGUCGAACCUUAAGUGUGCAGACCCUGCGGGUUCGAGAACUAUGUAGACAUGACCCGAGAGACUCCUCGGUCAAUAUCCAAUAGCGGGACCUGGAUGCCCAUAUUGGAUCCUACAUAUUCUACGAAGAUCUUAUCGUUUGAACCUCAGUACCAAGGAUUCAUUUAAUCCCGUAUGUCAUUCCCUUUGUCCUUCGGUAUGUUACUUGCCCGAGAUUCGAUCGUUAGUAUCCGCAUACCUAUUUCAAUCUCGUUUACCGGCAAGUCUCUUUACUCGUUCCGUAAUACAAGAUCCCGUAACUUACACUAAGCUACAUUGCUUGCAAGGCUUGUGUGUGAUGUUAUAUUACUGAGUGGGUCCCGAGAUACCUCUCCGUCACACGGAGUGACAAAUCCCAGUCUUGAUCCAUACUAACUCAACUAACACCUUCGGAGAUACCUGUAGAGCAUCUUUAUGGUUAGUGAGUUAUAUGAUCUCAUGGUCAUAGGAAUAAAUACUUGACACGCAGAAAACAGUAGCAACAAAAUGACACAAUCAACAUGCUACGUCUAUUAGUUUGGGUCUAGUCCAUCACGUGAUUCUCCUAAUGACGUGAUCCAGUUAUCAAGCAACAACACCUUGUUCAUAAUUAGAAGACACUGACUAUCUUUGAUCAACUGGCUAGCCAACUAGAGGCUUGCUAGGGAUGGUGUUUUGUCUAUGUAUCCACACAUGUAAAUGAGUCUUCAUUCAAUACAAUUAUAGCAUGGAUAAUAAACGAUUAUCUUGAUACAGGAAUUAUAAUAAUAACUAUAUUUAUUAUUUCCUCUAGGGCAUAAUUCCAACAGUCUUCCACUUGCACUAGAGUCAAUAAUCUAGCCCUCACAUCAUCAUGCGAAUUACAUUGUAAUAAAUCUAACACCCAUACAGUUCUGGUGUUCAUCAUGCUUUGGCCGUGGAAGAGGUUUAGUCAGCGGGUCUGCUACAUUCAGAUCCGUGUGCACUUUGCAUAUAUUUACGUCCUCUCCCUCGAUGUAGUCGCGGAUGAGGUUGAAGCGUCGUUUGAUGUGUCUGGUCUUCUUGUGAAACCGUGGUUCCUUUGCUAAGGCAAUGGCACCCGUGUUGUCACAGAACAAGGUUAUUGGAUUCAGUGGGCUUGGCACCACUCCAAGAUCCGUCAUGAAGUGCUUCAUCCAGACACCCUCCUUAGCCGCCUCCGAGGCAGCCAUGUACUCCGCUUCACAUGUAGAAUCUGCUACGACGCUUUGCUUGGAACUGCACCACCUUACCGCACCCCCAUUAAGAAUAAAUACGUAUCCGGUUUGCGACUUAGAGUCGUCCGGAUCUGUGUCAAAGCUUGCAUCGACGUAACCUUUUACAGCGAGCUCUUCGUCACCUCCAUACACAAGAAACAUCUCCUUAGUCCUUUUCAGGUACUUCAGGAUAUUCUUGACCGCUGUCCAGUGAUCCACUCCUGGAUUACUCUGGAACCUACCUGCCAUACUUAUGGCCAGGCUAACAUCCGGUCUAGUGCACAACAUUGCAUACAUGAUAGAACCUAUGGCUGAAGCAUAGGGGAUGGAGCGCAUAUGCUCUCUAUCUUCAUCAGUUGCUGGGCACUGAGUCUUACUCAAUCUCGUACCUUGUAAAACUGGCAAGAACCCUUUCUUGGACUGUUCCAUUUUGAACCUCUUCAAAACUUUAUCAAGGUAUGUGCUUUGUGAAAGUCCUAUCAGGCGUUUUGAUCUAUCCCUAUAGAUCUUAAUGCCUAGAAUGUAAGCAGCUUCUCCUAGGUCCUUCAUAGAGAAACUUUUAUUCAAGUAAUCCUUUAUGCUCUCCAAAAACUCUACGUUGUUUCCAAUCAGCAAUAUGUCAUCCACAUAUAAUAUUAGAAACGCCACAGAGCUCCCACUCACUUUCUUGUAAAUACAAGAUUCUCCAACCACUUAUAUAAACCCAAAUACUUUGAUCACCUCAUCAAAGCGCUUGUUCCAACUCCGAGAUGCUUGCACCAGUCCAUAAAUGGAUCGCUGGAGCUUGCACACCUUGUUAGCAUUCUUAGGAUCGAUAAAACCUUCGGGUUGCAUCAUAUACAAUUCUUCCUUAAGGAAACCGUUAAGGAACGCCGUUUUGACAUCCAUCUGCCAGAUUUCAUAAUCGAAAAAUGCAGCUAUUGCUAACAUGAUUCUGACGGACUUAAGCAUCGCUACGGGUGAGAAUGUCUCAUCGUAGUCAGCUCCUUGAACUUGCGAAAAACCCUUUGCCACAAGUCGAGCUUUAUAAACGGUCACAUUGCCGUCAGCGUCCGUCUUCCUCUUCAAGAUCCAUUUGUUCUGAAUAGCCUUGCGGCCCUCAGGCAGUACCUCCAAAGUCCACACUUUUUUCUCAUACAUGGAUCCUAUCUCGGACUUCAUGGCUUCUAGCCAUUUGUUGGAAUCCGGGCCCACCAUUGCUUCUUCAUAAUUUGCAGGUUCAUUGUUGUCCAACAACAUGAUUGACAAGACGGGAUUACCGUACCACUCUGGAGCAGCACGUGGUCUCGUCGACCUGCGUGGUUCAACAGAAACUUGAACCGGAGUUUCAUGAUCAUCAUCAUUAACUUCCUCCUCAACUGGCGUCGCAACGACAGAGGUUUCCCCUUGUCCUGCGCCACCAUCCAGAGGGAUGAGAGGUUCGACAACCUCGUCAAGUUCUAUCUUCCUCCCACUCAAUUCUCUCGAGAGAAACUCCUUCUCGAGAAAAGCUCCGUUUUUAGCAACAAACACUUUGCCAUCGGAUUUGAGAUAGAAGGUGUACCCAACUGUCUCUUUUGGGUAACCUAUGAAGACGCACUUUUCCGCUUUGGGUUCCAACUUUUCAGGCUGAAGCUUUUUGACAUAAGCAUCACAUCCCCAAACUUUAAGAAACGACAACUUUGGCCUUUUGCCAUACCACAGUUCGUAUGGUGUCGUCUCAAUGGAUUUUGAUGGUGCCCUAUUUAAAGUGAAUGCAUGUUUCUAAUGCAUAACCCCAAAACGAUAAUGGCAAAUCGGUAAGAGACAUCAUAGAUCGUACCAUCUCUAAUAAAGUACGAUUACGACGUUCGAACACACCAUUACACUGUGGUGUUCCAGGCGGUGUUAACUGUGAAACAAUUCCACAUUGUCUUAAGUGAGCACCAAACUCGAAACUCAGAUAUUCACCCCCACGAUCAGACCGUAGGAAUUUGAUCUUCUUGUUACGAUGAUUUUCAACUUCACUCUGAAAUUGCUUGAACUUUUCAAACGUUUCAGACUUGUGCUUCAUCAAGUAGACAUAACCAUAUCUACUCAAAUCGUCAGUGAAGGUGAGAAAAUAACGAUAUCGCCGCGUGCCUCCACGCUCAUCGGACCACACACAACGGUAUGUAUGAUUUCCAACAAGUCACUUGCACGCUCCAUUGUUCCGGAGAACGGAGUCUUAGUCAUCUUGCCCAUGAGGCAUGGUUCGCACGUGGCAAGUGAAUCAAAGUCAAGUGACUCCAAAAGUCCAUCAGCAUGGAGUUUCUUCAUGUGCUUUACACCAAUAUGACCUAAGCGACAGUGCCACAAAAAUAUGGCGCUAUCAUUGUUAACUCUAACUCUUUUGGUCUCAAUGUUAUGUAUGUGUGUAUUGCUAUCAAGAUUCAAUAUGAACAAUCCUCUCACAUUGGGUGCAUGACCAUAAAAGAUGUUACUCAUAGAAAUAGAACAACCAUUAUUCUCUGACUUAAAAGAGUAACCGUCUCGCAAUAAACAAGAUCCAGAUAUAAUGUUCAUGCUCAACGCAGGCACUAAAUAACAAUGUUUUAAGUUCAUCACUAAUCCUGAUGGUAACUGAAGUGAAAUUGUGCCGACGGCGAUUGCAUCAACCUUGGAACCAUUUCCUACGCGCAUCGUCACUUCAUCUUUCGCCAGCCUUCGCCUAUUCCGCAGUUCCUGUUUCGAGUUGCAAAUAUGAGCAACAGAACCGGUAUCGAAUACCCAGGCACUACUAUGAGAGCCGGUUAAGUACACAUCAAUAACUUGUAUAUCAAAUAUACCUGAUUUUUCAUUGGCCGCCUUCUUAUCUGCCAGAUACUUGGGGCAAUUGCGCUUCCAGUGACCCAUACCCUUGCAAUAGUAACACUCCGUUUCAGGCUUAGGUCCAGCUUUGGGUUUCUUCGUCGGAUUGGCAACAGGCUUGCCGCUCUUCUUUGAAUUACCCUUCUUGCCUUUGCCGUUUCUCUUGAAACUAGUGGUCUUAUUCACCAUCAACACUUGAUGCUCUUUACGGAGUUCAGACUCUACGACUUUCUGCAUCGCAAACAACUCGUCAGGAGACUUGUUCAUCCCUUGCAUGUUGUAGUUCAACACAAAGCCUUUAUAGCUUGGCGGCAGUGAUUGAAGGAUUCUGUCAGUGAUAGCCUCUUGCAGGAGUUCAAUCCCCAGCUCAGCUAGACGGUUUGAGUACCCAGACAUUUUGAGCACAUGUUCACUGACAGACGAGUUUUCCUCCAUCUUGCAAGCAUAUAAUUUAUCGGAGGUCUCAUACCUCUCGAUCCAGGCAUUCUUCUGAAAUAUAAACUUCAACUCCUGGAACAUCUCAAAUGCUCCAUGACGCUCAAAGCGACGUUGAAGUCCCGGUUCUAANUCUUUACGGAGUUCAGACUCUACGACUUUCUGCAUCGCAAACAACUCGUCAGGAGACUUGUUCAUCCCUUGCAUGUUGUAGUUCAACACAAAGCCUUUAUAGCUUGGCGGCAGUGAUUGAAGGAUUCUGUCAGUGAUAGCCUCUUGCAGGAGUUCAAUCCCCAGCUCAGCUAGACGGUUUGAGUACCCAGACAUUUUGAGCACAUGUUCACUGACAGACGAGUUAUCCUCCAUCUUGCAAGCAUACAAUUUAUCGCAGGUCUCAUCCCUCUCGAUCCCGGCCUUCUUCUGAAACAUAAACUUCAACUCCUGGAACAUCUCAAAUGCUCCAUGACGCUCAAAGCGACGUUGAAGUCCCGGUUCUAAGCCAUACAAGACUGCACAUUGAACUACUGAGUAGUCCUCCUUGCGUGCUAACCAAGCGUUCUUAACAUCCUGAUCAGCCGUAGCGGGUGGUUCAUCUCCUAGCGCAGCAUUAAGGACAUAAUCCUUCUUCCCAGCUUGUAAGAUUAGCUUAAGAUUACGAGCCCAGUCUACAAAGUUGCUUCCAUCAUCUUUCAACUUAGCUUUCUCUAGGAACGUAUUAAAAUUCAGGGUGACUGUCGCGUGAGCCAUGAUCUAAAACACAAAUAUAUUCAAAGUGGACUUAGACUAUGUUCAAGAUAAUUAGAGUUUAACUUUAAUCAAAAUUAUACGCUAAACUCCCACUCAAAAAGUACAUCUCUCUUAGUCAUUUGAGUGGUUCAUGAUCCACUUACACUAGCUCAAGUCCGAUCAUCACGUGAGUUGAGUAUAGUUUCAGUAGUAAGCAUCCCUAUGCUAAUCAUAUCAUCUAUACGACUCAUGAUCGACCUUUCGGUCUCAUGUGUUCCGAGGCCAUGUCUGCACAUGCUAGGCUCGUCAAGCUUAACCCGAGUGUUCCGCGUGCGCAACUGUUUUGCACCCGUUGUAUGUGAACGUUGAGUCUAUCACACCCGAUCAUCACGUGGUGUCUCGAAACGACGAACUGUAGCAACGGUGCACAGUCGGGGAGAACACAAUUUCGUCUUGAAAUUUUAGUGAGAGAUCACCUCAUAAUGCUACCGUCGUUCUAAGCAAAAUAAGGUGCAUAAAAGGAUUAACAUCACAUGCAAUUCAUAAGUGACAUGAUAUGGCCAUCAUCACGUGCUUCUUGAUCUCCAUCACCAAAGCACCAGCACGAUCUUCUUGUCACCGGCGCCACGCCAUGAUCUCCAUCAACGUGUUGCCAUCGAGGUUGUCGUGCUACUCAUGCUAUUACUACUAAAGCUACAUCCUAGCAAAAUAGUAAACGCAUCUGCAAGCACAAACAUUAGUAUAAACACAACCCUAUGGCUCCUGCCGGUUGCCGUACCAUCGACGUGCAAGUCGAUAUUAUCUAUUACAACAUGAUCAUCUCAUACAUCCAAUAUAUCACAUCACAUCGUUGGCCAUAUCACAUCACAAGCAUACCCUGCAAAAACAAGUUAGACGUCCUCUAAUUUUGUUGUUGCAUGUUUUAUGUGAUGACCACGGGUAUCUAGUAGGAUCGCAUCUUACUUACGCAAACACCACAACGGAGAUAUAUGAGUUGCUAUUUAACCUCAUCCAAGGACCUCCUCGGUCAAAUCCGAUUCAACUAAAUUUGGAGAAACUGACACUUGCCAGUCAUCUUAGAGCAACGGGGUUACUCGUAGCGAUGAAACCAGUCUCUCGUAAGCGUACGAGUAAUGUCGGUCCAAGCCGCUUCAAUCCAACAAUACCGCGAAAUCAAGAAAAGACUAAGGAGGGCAGCAAAACGCACAUCACCGCCCACAAAAACUUUUGUGUUCUACUCGAGAAGACAUCUACGCAUGAACCUAGCUCUGAUACCACUGUUGGGUAACGUCGCAUGGGAAACAAAAAAUUUCCUACGCGCACGAAGACCUAUCAUGGUGAUGUCCAUCUACGAGAGGGGAUGAGUGAUCUACGUACCCUUGUAGAUCGUACAGCAGAAGCGUUAGUGAACACGGUUGAUGUAGUGGAACGUCCUCACGUCCCUCGAUCCGCCCCGCGAACAAUCCCGAGAUCAGUCCCACGAUCUAGUGCCGAACGGACGGCACCUCCGCGUUCAGCACACGUACAGCUCGACGAUGAUCUCGGCCUUCUUGAUCCAGCAAGAGAGACGGAGAGGUAGAAGAGUUCUCCGGCAGCGUGACGGCGCUCCGGGGGUUGGUGAUGACCUUGUCUCAGCAGGGCUCCGCCCGAGCUCCGCAAAAACGCGAUCUAGAGGAAAAACCGUGGAGGUAUGUGGUCGGGCUGCCGUGGAAAAGUCGUCUCAAAUCAGCCCUAAAACCUCCGUAUAUAUAGGUGGGAGGGAGGGGACCUUGCCUUGGGGCUCAAGGAGCCCCAAGGGGGUCGGCCGAGCCAAGGGGGGAAGGCUCCCCCCCCCAAACCGAGUUGGACUUGGUUUGGUGGGUGGGAGUCCUUCCUUCCCUUCCCACCUCCUUUUUUUUCUUUUCUCUUUGAUUUUCUUUCCUAGGCGCAUAGGGCCCUUUUGGGCUGUCCCACCAGCCCACUAAGGGCUGGUGCGCCACCCUCAAGGCCUAUGGGCUUCCCCGGGGUGGGUUGCCCCCCCCGGUGAACUCCCGGAACCCAUUCGUCAUUCCCAGUACAUUCCCGGUAACUCCGAAAACCUUCCGGUAAUCAAAUGAGGUCAUCCUAUAUNNNNNNNNNNNNNNNNNNNNNNNNNNNNNNNNNNNNNNNNNNNNNNNNNNNNNNNNNNNNNNNNNNNNNNNNNNNNNNNNNNNNNNNNNNNNNNNNNNNNUUGAAUUACCCUUCUUGCCUUUGCCGUUUCUCUUGAAACUAGUGGUCUUAUUCACCAUCAACACUUGAUGUUCUUUACGGAGUUCAGACUCUGCGACUUUCAGCAUCGCAAACAACUCGCCGGGUGACUUGUUCAUCCCUUGCAUGUUGUAGUUCAACACAAAGCCUUUAUAGCUUGGCGGCAGUGAUUGAAGGAUUUUGUCAGUGAUAGCCUCUUGCGGGUGUUCAAUCCCCAGCUCAGCUAGACGGUUUGAGUACCCAGACAUUUUGAGCACAUGUUCACUGACAGACGAGUUCUCCUCCAUCUUGCAAGCAUAGAAUUUAUCGAAGGUCUCAUGCCUCUCGAUCCGGGCGUUCUUCUGAAAGAUAAACUUCAACUCCUGGAACAUCUCAAAUGCUCCAUGACGCUCNAAGACUGCACAUUGAACUACUGAGUAGUCCUCCUUACGUGCUAACCAAGCGUUCUUAACAUCCUGAUUAGCCGUAGCGGGUGGUUCAUCUCCUAGUGCAGCAUUAAGGACAUAAUCCUUCUUCCCAGCUUGUAAGAUUAGCUUAAGGUUACGAGCCCAGUCUACAAAGUUGCUUCCAUCAUCUUUCAACUUAGCUUUCUCUAGGAACGUAUUAAAAUNNNNNNNNNNNNNNNNNNNNNNNNNNNNNNNNNNNNNNNNNNNNNNNNNNNNNNNNNNNNNNNNNNNNNNNNNNNNNNNNNNNNNNNNNNNNNNNNNNNNCCAUGCGGACUUGACGGGGGGCCUUCCUCCAGUAUCUCACUGGCAGCUGGAUAAGCUAGAUACCAAAACUUUGAUAAAGAUUGAGGCAACCCAUUUGAGGAAGAACCGGACGGACCCCUGUGGUCGUCGAGUACAUGCCCUUCUUCCUGUCGCUGGUGAGCUUCCUCAACGGCGUCUGCUGGACGUCCUACGCUCUCAUCAAAUUCGACCUCUACGUCACGGUCAGUAAUAUCUCCAUCUUCAGGUUCCCGGUGUUGCUGAUCGAACUCAUUUUCUUUCGAGGAGAUCGAAAAUCUCUGAAUUUCUGCGAAACGAAUUUACAUAUUUAUUGCGAGGGGCUUUGAAAAGCGAAAGGAUGAAGACUGAUUUAGAUCCUCUGAAAGCGCGGGUUUGCUCCAUUUGAACUUGUCCACACUGGCAUAACCAGUAUCUCCCCGGAACUAAGAGGCAUGGAUACCCAUCUUUAUCGAUUCAAAGAAAUGAAUAAGUAUCAGCGAGGCAGGGAAUACGGGCCCGGUAGAGAUAGGGAUGAUCGGCAAGCGCUACGAGCGGGGCAAGGGUUGCAUCCGCUGUUUCAAGUCCGGACGGUUCCACUUUUUUAGUUUAGAUUCUUAUGCUGGACCUACAGCCCUAGCCUGGGACACCACUGUCGCAGUAAGCUCUGGCUGAAAUGAGUGGACGAAGUUCGGCUACCGCCAGGUGAUCCAUUAUCCAGUGCCGAUGUCGGAUCUGCCAGCUCUUCCCAUUAAUCGAUCAACUAAUUUAAAAAGUGAAUACCGCUCAUAACGGUGAUAUUGUAGGUUCGAGCCCUACUAAGCCCAUCUGACCUGCUUAAUCAAUGACUCCGGUAGUCACCUGAACCACUCUCUCGGAUAGCCCACAGCCUCUCUUCUGGAUGCGAAAGAAGAUUCGAUCAACGUCUCGAUACCCAUCAAGUGCGGUGUUCAGUAAGUCAAGUUUUUGUCAAGAUUUUUCCGGACUCCGCGAGGAUUCUGGCGGAGUGCUUUUCACAUAUAGAUAGGUCAAACUUAGAAACUAGCUUGCAAGAAAAGAAGAAAAUCAAGUAUACGUUUGCUUGUUGGCUUGAGCACUCGUUUCAGAAGAACCUUCUUUUGGGAUAACUCUUUCCGUUCUCUCCGUUCCACUUUGGUUUUCGACUAAUCUCUUAAUGAAGUUUUUAGCAACUCAUAUGGUCGAGUACUCCAUUAAACCUCUGAUGAGGAACAAUAAGCUUUACCAGUUAUCUGUUUCUAGGAUUACUCCAUCUGGGCGGGAUUUGGAUUCCCAUUUUUUCUUUGAAUGACAGCUUCAACUAGGCUCCACCUUAGAGAGGGUUUUCGGUUUGAAUCAAGAUAGUGUCCAGGCGAAGCCAAUAUUUUCGGAGUAACAAAAGGGAGCAGCCCCAUACCGACUUGAUUAUUCAAAUCUGCGAUUGGGAGCGGGAUCACCUACGAAAAAUAAAUUCGAAAUUAAUUCAAAAGGAAUGAGUUUUUUUGAGUGACGGAUCGGAAGAUUCAUUGGUUUCAUCCAAAGGCUUCUGUCUCGUCUUCCUCAAAUUGUUGAUCGAGGAUUGGAAAUCAAAGACAUUGCUAAAGCAAAUCUUCCUCCAACACUACUCCUUUCUCAUAGCUACAGCUACUAAUUCAGCAACUCUCAAAGCUAUAGCUUCUCCCCGUGGGUCUUACACUACAGUAAGUAAGGUCACUUGGCUUGGAAAGCUAGGCUAUUUCAGUGAUCCGUAGGUGAGGGACUCUUCAUAAGGUCCUCUUUCUAUCAAGGACCAGAUAACAACAAAGGAUUGCCUUUGAAUUGCAUUUCCUCUCGCAGCUCUCCUUUGCACCUCUCCGGACAGGUGUCUUCUUCUCGACACGUUCCUCUCCUUCGCACUGACAAGGUCUCUCUUACAACCUCCUCUGUCUUUGUUUUGUGAAACAUCGAAUACUGCAUCUACACGGCCAUAAUUGUUGUCUUAGUGAAAGAGGCCAGUCCCCUUUAUGUGUUCGAUAAGAUGACGUUGAGGUAUAUUGUCUUGGUUACACAUGCCACUCCCCUCCAUGUAUUUGCAAAAAUGCCUAAUAGAUGUACAAAACUACUAACACUACUGCAUAUUCUAAAUUGUUCUAUUGCCCCUGCAGUUUUCAUCUAAAUUGGAGUUUUUGGCGUCAAAAGGUGUUGCCUCUAUCCCUCUUUGUGUGAGGUUGAAGCCACUAACCUCUCUCUGUAUUUAAAAAAUAGAAAAAACUACUUGCUUCUCAAACUGUUGUUGUUGUAAUUGUUUUUGAGCUUGAAACUCUUCACUCUGAAAUAUUUAAAUUAUAGACAAUUAUUUAAUUUAUAAUAUUAAUUUUUUUUACUAUAGACUUUCAACCGGAGAAUCUCCUCUGUUCUGCUCAUGUCUUUUCAUUGCUUAGCUUUUCAAUUCAUAUCCUUCAUCCAAAAGAAAAGGAAUCUCCCUUUGUUAGAAGAAAGCGGGUUGUUGUUUUCGAGGAUAUGGUUAUAGUUCUUUAGGAAGAAGACAGCUCACUUCCCAUCAUCAUAUUCGAAUUCGAAGGAUCCCGCACCUGUAGCCUUUACUUCUCAACUACUUCUAUGCUCUUCUUGGCUCUUUUAAGACUGCUCAAUACUGCUGCUCUACACAGCUCUUAUCUCCAAAACCGAGGAAUUCUUUGCUAUUCUUUUCCGAUCUUUCCUCGAUUGAUCGACUAGGAUUGGGAAUUAGCGACUAGUUAUUUGAGGAAAGUAGUCAACAAAAGCACUUUACUUGGAUAUACCCACAACUAAAAUCAAAUAAAUGAGAUCACAUCCCUUCCCACCCCGUCUUUCAACGAAGGAAGCUUUACCGAUUCCAAUACCGGAUAUGCAGAUAGUGAUCUACAGGGGCUACUACUACAUUGACUUAUCUUGCUAGGGACCUUUCGACUCAAGGAAAUCCCAACACCCAUUCUAUACUCACUCUUUCAGGGAGAGCCCAUAAACCGGAUACGAACCUAUAUCUGUACCUUUACAAAAGAUAGCCCUAAGCCGGGAAAGGAGGAUUACGAAUUCAUGUAUCCCCUAAUUCAAAUAUCGAAAGCUCAAGGAAAGGUUUGCUUCUAGUGAAACUGAAUGGUAAAGGAGGGCGGGCAAAGGAGGUAUAUGUAGAGGUAGCAAGUGUAAGGUAGGAAGCUCAAGCUCAAGGUGUUGAGGCAAGUGAAAGGGAAUGUAUAGGUAGCUGGUAGAGUCAUGACAGUAUUCUAGUAGGUAGGGAUUUGUGUUGGUAAAGCUUAGCAGAGGUAUCCAUGAUUGUAGGGAUAGUCAUAGUCAUUGGAAAGCCUGCUUCUUUCUAGUAAUCUAUAUAGGACUAGUCAUACUUCCUUAUUGGAAUCCCUAUUUCUUGUUUGUUAUUCUAGUAGGAUUCCUCCCCCCAUGAGCAUGAGAUCAGAUCCAUUUCCAUUGCCUGUGUGUGAAGACUUGUGAUAGUUCUUGGCAUGCAUGUGUUUGUAUUGCUUUUGAUUGUCCACUUGUGUUGUGCUUGUGGUUGUGCUUGCACUUGUGGUGUGGUACUGCCUAGGAUGGGAUAAGCAUCAGGAAAGGAUGGGUUCUCGUAAUAUCUUCCCUUGUUUCUUAGGAUUGGAGUUUGCUUGACUGGUUCAUAGGUUGAGGUGGAAAGGCCUAUUUGCUUGCCGGGAGAUAGAAAGGAGGCUAGGGAAAGGGAAUUCUCUCGAGCAAGGGCCCGUUCUUGAUAUCAUUAUGGGGGGAAGUGGAAAUGAGAAUAGUGCCGGGUCAAGGGAAAAGCAAGCAUCUAAGUAUUUCUUCUCUAGGGUUGGUUCUCCCGUUUCAUAGUCUAAAAGAAGAGGCUUAUGUGUUUGAACUGUUUAUAGGUUGAGAAGCGCGGACUUCGAUCUUCCGUUCUGCUGGAAAUAGGCCAGUGCUUCCCUAGUUUCUAACCUGAGUGGAUAGACAGGAAAGGACAUGAACGUAUCUAUUCUCUCUUUGAGUUCCAGCUCCCCUCCAGAAUGUAGAGAUGAUCGGUGCUUUACUUUAAGAGGCCUUCCCGAGCCUAAUGAUGAGGAGGCUCCCUCCAAUAGGACUUGAC
rnacentral:lncRNA from 1 species